UGGGGAAUUUUGGACAAUGGGGGGCAACCCUGAUCCAGCCAUCCCGCGUGUGCGAUGAAGGCCUUCGGGUUGUAAAGCACUUUUAUCAGGAGCGAAACGCUGUCGGCUAAUACCCGGCGGAACUGACGGUACCUGAGGAAUAAGCACCGGCUAACUUCGUGCCAGCAGCCGCGGUAAUACGAAGGGUGCAAGCGUUAAUCGGAAUUACUGGGCGUAAAGCGUGCGUAGGCGGUUUCUUAAGUCUGCUGUGAAAUCCCCGGGCUCAACCUGGGAAUGGCAGUGGAUACUGGGAGGCUAGAGUGUGUCAGAGGGUGGUGGAAUUCCCGGUGUAGCGGUGAAAUGCGUAGAGAUCGGGAGGAACAUCAGUGGCGAAGGCGGCCACCUGGGACAACACUGACGCUGAGGCACGAAAGCGUGGGGAGCAAACAGGAUUAGAUACCCUGGUAGUCCACGCCCUAAACGAUGCGAACUGGAUGUUGGUCUCAACUCGGAGAUCAGUGUCGAAGCUAACGCGUUAAGUUCGCCGCCUGGGGAGUACGGUCGCAAGACUGAAACUCAAAGGAAUUGAC
rnacentral:rRNA from 1 species